rnacentral:rRNA from 1 species
GGAUGCGAUCAUACAAGCACUAAUGCACCGGAUCCCAUCAGAACUCCGAAGUUAAGCGUGCUUGGGCGAGAGUAGUACUAGGAUGGGUGACCCUAAAAAAUUUGUAUCCUGCUUCUU